AAGGAAAAGGAGUAUGGAUAGUCGAGAGCAUUUCAAUAGCUACAAAGAACUUUGUCAACAUUUGUGUUUGGAAUUUCUGCACUUGACCAGACAGCUCCCAGACUUGGAUCACAGAAUAACAGUCAGGAAGGACUUUCAUUACAGGCACAGGCUGGGACCUAGCAGCAUCAAAGGUAACAGGCUGAUUAGUGAAGUCUAUUUCUAGGUAAUUCAGGCUGGUAUUGGAAGCCACAAUGACAUGCUAUGAGCAACCCUUUCUUGAAUUAAGAAUAUACUUUCCAACAACACUGCAGAUGACAUUAUGUGUGGUGCUUCACAACAUAUAAGAAUAUACUUCACAUAAGAAUAUGCUCCUCAACAUAUUAAGAAUAUACUUUCCAACAACACUGCAGAUGACAUAUGCGUGGUGCUUCACAACUGUGUUACUAGUUUUCUCUUUGUCUUGCUACCUGAUGUUAACAACUGAUUAAUGCUUGCCUUUAGAGUGAAUCAGAGAUGCUGGAUUUGAAUGGAUCAAUAUCAGGGAAAACAACUGAAAUAUAAAAUCCAACAUCUGAACCCUAAGACUGGCAUGUUUUAAAAUGUGUUUGCUGAUACUGUCUCAUUGCUCUGUUAUGUCUGUAUCAAGGCAUAACACCAAGAAGCUUGGUAUUAUGAGAUUAACCAAAAUGAGAUCGUUUUCUCAUUUGCACGGUUAUCACCAUCUGUCAAAUAUUUCUCCUCAAAUACUCAAAUCCUGUCUAUUUUUCUGUUUUUGAAACAUUUUACUUAGAUACCAAAAUGCUGGCCACUACACUCAAAUUGAAUUUUUGGAUUGUACUGCCAAAGAUCAGAUGAAUGUGCAUAACUGUUUAUAUUCUUCUUUUAUGUCUCUUUUCUAUGUAAUCUAAAAGUUACAGGGGUAGAGUGUUCCUUUCCAUCUUUUUUUGUAUGGUACUAGGUUCCCUAACACCUCUCAUUUCAUUUGAGGCCACUUAAAAAUAAUACAUAGUAAAUAAAUAUUAAUAAAUAGACAAGCUUUAAGAUAUAUCAAUAUAUUCUUUGUGUACCUGUGAUAUUUGUCAUGUGUUGAAAAUGUCUCAGUAGAUUGUUAUGCAGUUACUAAUCUGACAUGGUUUUAACUGAGAUGGUUUCCUUUCAUGUCCAAGCAAAUCUUCAGCUGCAGCAUUCAUGCAAAAAAAAAAAGAGCCCAGUUCAAACAUUUUUUCCAUUUUCUAUUGGCAAGUUCAUUCAAGUGCCCCUUCCAUGUAACCACAGAACGGCCUGGCUUGAAAAAGACCUUAAAGAUCAUCUACUUUCAACCCUCCUGCUCUGGGCAGCAUACAUUCGCUGCUUCUCUUAUCCUCUGAAAGUCCUGACUUCUUCAUUGAUCACCUUGGAUAGUUUGCUGACUUUUAACAUUGUCUAUAUAAAUAAGAAAACAUCCUGAAUCAGAGGUAUUUUUAUGAUUUGUAUUCAUUGUAAGUAUAUGUUUAAGGACUGGCUUGUUAAGUGUAUAAAAAGAUCUUUCUUUGGUCAAAUCUACCUAUUAAUUUCAGGUCCAGUUUCUACAGAAGUCCCACUAAAGCCUUCAGAGCAAAUCUCACAUGCUGGCAGUGCAGCUUAGCCUUGUUGUCUGCUGGCAUAACUGAAAUAAUGUAAAUUAGAAAUUUAGGAUUUCCAGGUAGUGUUCUUUAUAUGUCUAAUGCCUUUCUAAUUGGAUUAGUUCUCUUUUACUUCAUUGCACUAUGUAGAGCAGAUUUUUUUUUUGUUUGAAGGGUCAAAAAUACACUGAACUUUUCCCUUAUUAGUUUAGAACUUUAUCUCAUCUGUGUGUUCUUGCAGUUGUCAAUGAUUAAUUUUGACUGACCUGUGAAGCGUUAAAUGGACUGUAUAUUAAUGAUACACUAACUAUGGUUUAUCCUAUUAAACAUGAAAACAGAACAUAUGCACUGCAAUCAUGGUGGGCAGAAGGAGGAUAUUAAUGCACCAUGAAUUUCUUAAUAAUGGAGAGGAGAAAGAAGAGUUACUUUGAAAGGAAGGCAAAAUGUUCCUGGUGAAGGAAGCAAAGUCCCUUUCUAGGAUCUUGGGAGUGUAGCAUCAAGAGUAUAGCAUACCUGAAAUACUGGGGUCUUGCUGAAUAUGAAUAAAUACACCAGGUCAUUCACUGAUAAAGUGAUGAAAAGUUGUUCAUUUUAUAGAAAACAAUGAAAGAUGCUACAUCUGUCAGAUGCAAGGAGUGAAGGGCAUGUGAAACAAUUCUGUGGAAAAGAGGCUGCUUGGAUAAGAACAGGACAUCAUCCUUGGCUAGGUCUCUUGGAAGCUGAAGAUAAACAUAAGAUAACGGGGAUAUGAAAACAGAAAAAAUG